rnacentral:rRNA from 1 species
GCUCAGGAUGAACGCUGGCGGCGUGCUUAACACAUGCAAGUCGAACGGGAAUUACUUUAUUGAAACUUCGGUCGAUUUAAUUUAAUUCUAGUGGCGGACGGGUGAGUAACGCGUGGGUAACCUGCCUUAUACAGGGGGAUAACAGUCAGAAAUGGCUGCUAAUACCGCAUAAGCGCACAGAGCUGCAUGGCUCAGUGUGAAAAACUCCGGUGGUAUAAGAUGGACCCGCGUUGGAUUAGCUUGUUGGUGAGGUAACGGCCCACCAAGGCGACGAUCCAUAGCCGGCCUGAGAGGGUGAACGGCCACAUUGGGACUGAGACACGGCCCAGACUCCUACGGGAGGCAGCA